GGAGGACACCGCCUGUCCACAGGAUGCCACUGCUGGAAGCUUUCACCUUCUUGUCCUUCUGGGCUCUUGGCCUUGGGUUAUCUACAUUGGAGCAGUCCCAGCUAUCCAUUACCACAGAAGUGGGGGAAAGUAUUGACAUAGAUUGCAAGAUAACAAGCACCAAUUUUGAAAAAGACAUCAUUCACUGGUACCGGCAGAAACCGAAUCAGGCUUUGGAGCAUCUGAUUUAUGUGAGCUCCACAGUAGGCCCUGCUCGAAGCCAUGUAGAUGGAAAGAGAAACAAAGUUGAGGCAGGAAAGAAUGCUCAACUUCUCACUUCAACCCUCCGCAUAUAUUUCAUAGGAAAAGAAGAUACGGGUACUUACUACUGUGCUGGGUGGUACACACAGUCCUCUGUGGGUAGGACUCACAGUCCUAGAACUGUGGAGACAACUCACAUAGGAUCCCCGCCUUGGAUUCGUGCCCACCCACAUCCUUCCCAACAGUGGCAACUGCAACCAGCACCCGCCUCCCCAGCUGGGCUCCUGGCCUCGGCCUCACCUUGUCUGCAGCUCUUCCUCAGCUUCCAGGAAGCCACGUUGGCUUAUGCUUGCACAUCAACUUCCAGCUGA